CGAGAGACCAUCUAGUCCUCCUCCCUCCCCCCCCGGAGUUCGUAGCAUGGCUGUCGAGUGACACUUGUUGUUCGCUGCAGAUUUCUUUCACCGGCUGACGCUGGGAGCAGGUGAACCAACUCUCGCUUCAAGCCCGAUGCUGAUGGAUUGGGAGGAGAGGAGAAGAAAAAGAAGAAGAGAGAAAGAGAUCGACUCAGUGAUUCUGAUUCUGCCAACCACUACUAUCUUACAAGCAUAACCCAGAACUCGUCUCGUCAGUCAAUCACAGCACCACCACUCCCAGUAAGGAGUCUGCCAUGGCAUUUACACUACAUAACUCUUUAUCACUUUAUCUCUCUAGAUAAGUCGCGGUGGUUUUCUCGUUUCCUGGUACUUGCAUCAGUGCAGUAGUGCUCGGAACUGUAGAGUGGUAGCGGUGGAGUCAUCCUUUCUUGUCUUGGGAUCAUUCAUUUAAUGAAGGGAGAAGCACUGCGAGGAAGAAAGCACCGCAAGAGCGACGCCUCGCCACCCUGUCUCUCUUUCCUCCGUAGCAGCAAAGUUGUCGUGAAAAUGGCCAGGCUCACCGUGGUGGUGCUCAUCGUCUUCUCCCUCACAUUCUUAUCCUCCAGCUCAGCUGGGUUGGCGUCUUCCGAGUCCAGUAGAGGCAGCUUGCUGUUGAAGAGGAAGGUUCUAGGAUCGAGGCCUCCUUCAUGCAUGAACAAGUGCUCGAGCUGCAGCCCAUGCAUGGCGACUCUGGUCGCUUUCCCACGAGAGAGGAGCUUAUCAGCAUUAAGACAUGAAGAAGAUGACGGCUACUACCUGCUUGCCUGGAAAUGCCAAUGCGGCAAUAAGCUCUACCAGCCGUAGAUUCUUUGUUUAACGUGUGAUAUGUACUUUGUAGUUUGUACUGCUUAUAUUUCUCGAUAUAUAGCUUCAUAUUUUAGCUUAA